GAUGAACGCUAGCGGGAGGCUUAACACAUGCAAGUCGAGGGGUAACAUGAGGUAGCAAUACUUUGAUGACGACCGGCGCACGGGUGAGUAACGCGUAUGUAACCUACCUUGUACAGGGGGAUAGCCCGGAGAAAUUCGGAUUAAUACCCCAUAAUGAUAUCUGAAGGCAUCUUUAGGUAUUUAAAGUUUCGACGGUACGAGAUGGGCAUGCGUGACAUUAGCUAGUUGGUAAGGUAACGGCUUACCAAGGCUGCGAUGUCUAGGGGUCCUGAGAGGGUGAUCCCCCACACUGGUACUGAGACACGGACCAGACUCCUACGGGAGGCAGCAGUGAGGAAUAUUGGUCAAUGGGCGUAAGCCUGAACCAGCCAUCCCGCGUGAAGGAAGAAGGCGCUAUGCGUCGUAAACUUCUUUUCCGGAGGAAUAAAAUUUCGUACGUGUACGGGACUGAAGGUACUCCGGGAAUAAGCAUCGGCUAACUCCGUGCCAGCAGCCGCAGUAACAC
rnacentral:rRNA from 1 species